UAAACCUUUAACAUUUAGUCCUGUGAGGCUAAAAAGGAUCGGUAAUGACUGGCUAUAAGUCCAGACACCAACCUCUUUACUCACAGGCAGUAAAGAGGUUUUUUAAUU
rfam:Lactobacillus collinoides DSM 20515 = JCM 1123 strain DSM 20515 NODE_42, whole genome shotgun sequence.